CAAACCAUCAAGGUGGUUUGCCGGUGUGUAUUAGUACUGCUGUCAAUCUGGUGGGUCUGUUGUGCAUCCAUGUUGAAGCUAUAAGAUUCUUGUUUGUUAUGGCCUUGUUGGGGAUGAGAAUGAAAUCCUUUCUGCCAUUUGGAGAAGCUGAACAGCUUUAUCUAUAUGUCUGGUGCUGGGAGAGAAAUAUCUUUUCCUGGAACUUAAGAUAUUGCACUCACCAACUUUGCGGAGCCACGAAGAUAAGCCUUGAUGUAGAACUCCGAGAAGAGGAAGAAGAACAUAACAGCAUGACCGCCGAUCCACCACAUGAAGGCACGAGGGUAGUGACACUCAGUGAAGCACAGCUGGAAGUGGCAAAUUGAUCAUGGUACCUUAUGAGAUCAGUGCAGUAGCAAAUUUUCUCUAGUUCUUAUUUCAAGGAAAAAAAUAAUAAAUUCAGAAUUCAUCAUAACCUUAAAAAAUAUUGUUUUCAUCAUAUUUUCUUCAAUAAAAAACCUACAUCUUUGAUACUCCUUGUUUGUUACUUAAGAGAGUUUGUCGAGUAAUUGUAGUUUGAACAAUGAGUGUCUUACACCAGAGAAAAUGGCAGUUUAUUUGCAUUUAUUUUACAUCCAAACUUGCCCAUGUUUCUCCUUUUUAUGGGAGAAUAGAUAAUGUAAAUAGAAAUCUCUACACUUCCCGAUGUCAAUAAGAUCAGUUCAUUAAUGUUAUAUGUAAGGUGUUUGAGUAUAAACUUCCACAAUACCACAGACAUAGCUAGUUUAAACAUUGUGAUUGGUUUAUGUAAUUAAGAUAUAAAUAACUCAUUUUUUAUAUGUUCUUCCAAACAUUGAACCUCCAACUAUUUUAGAACUUGUCAUGAAAUAUCAGUGUACCUGGAAUGCAUGACUGAAGAUCAGGAUGAACUGGAUCAUCUGGAAGUUGGUGAGGUACUUCUUCCACCAAAUGUAGCGGCGGUACUUGGGUCCCAUGGCAGCCAUCAUGUAGUACACGUACAUCACAAUAUGUACAAAGGUGUUGACAAGACCGAAGAAAGUGCUGUGGCCACCUACAAGCAGAGUGUAUGUCAAGUCUCAGAAGUCUUUAAAAAAAAUAAUAAAUAAAUGUAUGCACAAUUGAAAAGUAUAUGGACAACACAAAGCACAUAGACACACUUCAUUUUUAAUACCAACACAUGAUUCCAAAAGCUCCAGAAAAUUACACAAUCAAGAUUAG